rnacentral:rRNA from 1 species
GUUAAGCGACUAAGCGUACACGGUGGAUGCCCUGGCAGUCAGAGGCGAUGAAGGACGUGCUAAUCUGCGAUAAGCGUCGGUAAGGUGAUAUGAACCGUUAUAACCGGCGAUUUCCGAAUGGGGAAACCCAGUGUGUUUCGACACACUAUCAUUAACUGAAUCCAUAGGUUAAUGAGGCGAACCGGGGGAACUGAAACAUCUAAGUACCCCGAGGAAAAGAAAUCAACCGAGAUUCCCCCAGUAGCGGCGAGCGAACGGGGAGCAGCCCAGAGCCUGAAUCAGUGUGUGUGUUAGUGGAAGCGUCUGGAAAGGCGCGCGAUACAGGGUGACAGCCCCGUACACAAAAAUGCACAUGCUGUGAGCUCGAUGAGUAGGGCGGGACACGUGGUAUCCUGUCUGAAUAUGGGGGGACCAUCCUCCAAGGCUAAAUACUCCUGACUGACCGAUAGUGAACCAGUACCGUGAGGGAAAGGCGAAAAGAACCCCGGCGAGGGGAGUGAAAAAGAACCUGAAACCGUGUACGUACAAGCAGUGGGAGCACGCUUAGGCGUGUGACUGCGUACCUUUUGUAUAAUGGGUCAGCGACUUAUAUUCUGUAGCAAGGUUAACCGAAUAGGGGAGCCGAAGGGAAACCGAGUCUUAACUGGGCGUUAAGUUGCAGGGUAUAGACCCGAAACCCGGUGAUCUAGCCAUGGGCAGGUUGAAGGUUGGGUAACACUAACUGGAGGACCGAACCGACUAAUGUUGAAAAAUUAGCGGAUGACUUGUGGCUGGGGGUGAAAGGCCAAUCAAACCGGGAGAUAGCUGGUUCUCCCCGAAAGCUAUUUAGGUAGCGCCUCGUGAAUUCAUCUCCGGGGGUAGAGCACUGUUUCGGCAAGGGGGUCAUCCCGACUUACCAACCCGAUGCAAACUGCGAAUACCGGAGAAUGUUAUCACGGGAGACACACGGCGGGUGCUAACGUCCGUCGUGAAGAGGGAAACAACCCAGACCGCCAGCUAAGGUCCCAAAGUCAUGGUUAAGUGGGAAACGAUGUGGGAAGGCCCAGACAGCCAGGAUGUUGGCUUAGAAGCAGCCAUCAUUUAAAGAAAGCGUAAUAGCUCACUGGUCGAGUCGGCCUGCGCGGAAGAUGUAACGGGGCUAAACCAUGCACCGAAGCUGCGGCAGCGACGCUGAUGCGUUGUUGGGUAGGGGAGCGU